GACGACCACAGUCUAUAAGCAUCUGUCAUUUUGCACACCUGGUCACCAGCCGUUGCUGCCGCCACGCGGUUUAUGUUGUUCUACAUAAGCACCCCUUCUCCGUUUAUUCGAGGUCAUGUCCCCGGUACCGGCACAUGCACCGGCGGCGGUUGCCCAUUGCAGCAUUGCAUCUCAGAGCGAGGAGUGCCAUUUUCCGUGGAACUGAAGAUCAAUAGGCGUGCAAGAUGGUCCAGCCCGACGCUAUGGAGAGCACCGGCAGCGCCGGAGAGACCGGGACGAGCAGAGGGAGCACCGGGACGAGCAGAGGGAGCACCGGGACGAGCAGAGGGAGCGCCGGGACGAGCAGAGGGACGUCCCGUAGAGGUGCGAGAGAGAGCGGGGAGUCACUCCGCUGGCUGAGGGAGGAGCGCCGCAGAUACGACGAGUACUACAAGCAACGGGAGGAAUGACCGUGGAUAUUGAACCAAUCGUCAUCGAUGGAAAGACGCACUUGAACGCCCUGAUGCUGAUACACGAAGAUUUCGGAGGAAUGACAUCAACCUUGCCUCGUCUCAACAAAUCUUGCAUGCGCGCGGAC